ACUCAAAGGAAUAGACGGGGGCCCGCACAAGCGGAGGAGCAUGUGGUUUAAUUCGAUGAUACGCGAGGAACCUUACCCGGGCUUGAACGUAAGACGAAUAUUGGGGAAACCUGAUAGCCUACGGGCGUCUUGCGAGGUGCUGCAUGGUUGUCGUCAGCUCGUGCCGUGAGGUGUUAGGUUAAGUCCUGCAACGAGCGCAACCCUUACUUGUAGUUGCCAGCACGUUAUGGUGGGAACUCUACAGGAACUGCCUACGCAAGUAGCGAGGAAGGUGGGGAUGACGUCAAAUCAGCACGGCCCUUAUGUUCGGGGCUACACACGUGCUACAAUGGCAUGUACAGAGGGCUGCUACCACGUGAGUGGAUGCUAAUCCUCAAAGCAUGUCUCAGUUCGGAUUGGAGUCUGUAACUCGACUCUAUGAAGUUGGAUUCGCUAGUAAUCGCGCAUCAGCCAUGGCGCGGUGAAUACGUUCCCGGGCCUUGUACACACCGCCCGU
rnacentral:rRNA from 1 species